rnacentral:rRNA from 1 species
GACGGAGGAUGCAAGCGUUAUCCGGAAUGAUUGGGCGUAAAGCGUCCGCAGGUGGCAGUUCAAGUCUGCUGUCAAAGACCGGGGCUUAACUUCGGAAAGGCAGUGGAAACUGAACAGCUAGAGUAUGGUAGGGGCAGAGGGAAUUCCUGGUGUAGCGGUGAAAUGCGUAGAGAUGUGGAGGAACACCGAUGGCGAAGGCAGCCCCCUGGGUCAAGACUGACGCUCAUGCACGAAAGCGUGGGGAGCAAACAGG